ACUCCUACGGGAGGCAGCAGUAGGGAAUAUUGGUUCAAUGGGCGAAAGCCUGAACCAGCCAUGCCGCGUGUCAGAUGAAGGUCCUCUGGAUUGUAAAUGACUUUUCUACGGGAAGAAUGAGCCGUCUGCGGACGGAAGUUGACGGUACCGUAGGAAUAAGCACCGGCUAACUACGUGCCAGCAGCCGCGGUAAUACGUAGGGGUGCAAGCGUUGUCCGGAUUUACUGGGUUUAAAGGGUACGUAGGCGGUUGUGCCAAGUCUGGGGUGAAAGUUUGCAGCUCAACUGUAAAAUUGCCUUGGAUACUGGUCGGCUAGAGUAGUGGAGCGGUGGCUGGAAUUUAUAGUGUAGCGGUGAAAUGCUUAGAUACUAUGAGGAACACCAAUUGCGAAGGCAGGUCACUGGUCACUAACUGACGCUGAGGUACGAAAGUGUGGGGAUCAAACA
rnacentral:rRNA from 1 species